rnacentral:sRNA from 15 species
AUGACGUAAGGAGUAGUAUAGAGUGAGUACGCCUUGAUGGAGGAGGCUCAGGUUGAAAUCUUGGCUAUUACGUCUAAGACAUCUAUUUAUGAAUAGGUGUCUUUUUUC